rnacentral:misc_RNA from 1 species
AACCAUAGAAACCUGCGGAGUACCUGCGGAAGGAUCAUUAACAGUGCCGCGGGGCUCGCCCCCGCAUACGGCCACCCGUGUCUACCUUACCUCUUGUUGCCUCGGCGGGCCCGUCGCGCCUGUCCCCCCUAACCGGGGGCGGUGCGACCGCCAAGCGGCACCAGCCGCCCGGCCCGCGCCCGCCAGAGGACCACGCGAACUCUCUGUGAAUUUUGGCGACGUCUGAGACUUUGAUCAUUA